rnacentral:rRNA from 1 species
GAUGAACGCUGGCGGCGUGCCUAAUACAUGCAAGUCGAGCGAACGGACGAGAAGCUUGCUUCUCUGAUGUUAGCGGCGGACGGGUGAGUAACACGUGGAUACCCUACCUAUAAGACUGGGAUAACUUCGGGAAACCGGAGCUAAUACCGGAUGAUAUUUUGAACCGCAUGGUUCAAAAGUGAAAGACGGUCUUGCUGUCACUUAUCGAUGGAUCCGCGCUGCAUUAGCUAGUUGGUAAGGUAACGGCUUACCAAGGCAACGAUGCAUAGCCGACCGAAGAGGGGGGUCGGCCACAUUGGAACGUAGACACGGUCCAGACGCCUACGGGAGGCAGCAGUAGGGAAUCUUCCGCAAUGGGCGAAGGCCUGACGGAGCAACGCCGCGUGAGUGAUGGAGGUCUUCGGAUCGUAAAACUCUGUUAUUAGGGAAGAACAUAUGUGUAAGUAACUGUGCACAUCGUGACGGUACCUAAUCAGAAAGCCACGGCUAACUACGUG